rnacentral:misc_RNA from 1 species
AACAUUAUCAGAUGUUAUAAAAAAAUGAGAUUGAAAAUUUUAAGUUAAAAUAAUACAACGUGGUUUUCGACUAGCUAAUUGAAUUUCAACCAUGUAAAUUUAAUUCAUUAAGUUCAGUUAGAGAGUUGUAUGAGAUGAUAUAUUGCUAUAAUGUGAAUUUUCUAUCAAAUUUUGAUGAAUUCCAUUUAUUGUUGUCGUGUAAAAUAGAGCUAUUAUCGGCUUCAUGGGGCACCAUGAAUUAAAGAUGUCAGGAUAACUGUUAAGGAUGGACCUUAUUUCUUGAUAAAG